rnacentral:tRNA from 2 species
GGAGAAGAAUUUGAUUUUGAGUAUUAUAAAAAGCUUGCUUUGGAUCCGAAGGUGGUGGCAAUAGGGGAGUGCGGGUUGGAUUAUUACAGGACCGAAGACUCCCGCCUUCUCCGCCA